rnacentral:rRNA from 1 species
GUGAACGCUGGCGGUAGGCCUAACACAUGCAAGUCGAACGGCAGCACAGUAAGAGCUUGCUCUUACGGGUGGCGAGUGGCGGACGGGUGAGGAAUACAUCGGAAUCUACUUUUUCGUGGGGGAUAACGUAGGGAAACUUACGCUAAUACCGCAUACGACCUACGGGUGAAAGCAGGGGAUCUUCGGACCUUGCGCGAUUGAAUGAGCCGAUGUCGGAUUAGCUAGUUGGCGGGGUAAAGGCCCACCAAGGCGACGAUCCGUAGCUGAUCUGAGAGGAUGAUCAGCCACACUGGAACUGAGGCCCGGUCCAGACUCCUACGAGAGGCAGCAGUGGGGAAUAUUGGACAAAGGGCGCAAGCCUGAUCCAGCCAUACCGCGUGGGUGAAGAAGGCCUUCGGGUUGUAAAGCCCUUUUGUUGGGAAAGAAAAGCAGCAGGUUAAUACCCCGCUGUUCUGUCGGUACCCAAAGAAUAAGCACCGGCUAACUUCGUG